rnacentral:rRNA from 1 species
GACGAACGCUGGCGGCGUGCCUAAUACAUGCAAGUCGAACGCAGUGGGGACGGGUGAGUAACACGUGGGUAACCUCCCAUCAGAGGGGAGAACACUUGGCAACAGGUGCUAAACCGAUACUGAUGGAUGGACCAGCGGUGCAUUAGCUAGUUGGUGAGGUAACGGCGCACCAAGGCCACGAUGCAUAGCUGACCUGAGAGGGUGAUCAGCCACACUGGGACUGAGACACGGCCCAGACUCCUAUGGGAGGAAGCAUGAGGGAAUCUUCGGCAAUGGACGAAAGUCUGACCGAGCAACGCCGCGUGAGUGAAGAAGGUUUUCGGAUCGUAAAGCUCUGUUGUUAGGGAAGCGUUAUCUAACCAAAAAGCCCCGGCUAACUACGUGCCAGCAGCCGCGGUAAUAC